AUGGUGGAGGUGAAGGUAGGAGUGAAUAGAUUUGGCGAUAUUGGGUGCUGCUUUUAACUCUGGCAAAGCAGAUAUUGUCACCAUCAAUGACUCCUUUAUUGACUUUAACUACAUGAUUUACAUGUUCCAGUAUGACUCUAUCCAAGGCAAUUUCCACAGCACCACCAAGGCUGAGAAUGGGAAGCUUGUCGUCAAUGGAAAUUCCAUAGCAAAAUCAAAUGGGAUGAUGUUAGCACUGAUUAUCUAGUGGAGUCCACCAGUGUCUUCGCUACCUUGGAGAAGGCUGGGCAGCCAAAAGGGUCAUCAUGUCUGCCUCCUUCACUGAUGCUCCCAUAUUUGUGAUGGGUAUGAACCACGAGAAGUACCAGAACAACCUCACGAUUGUCAGCAAUACCCAUUGCACCGCCAACUGCUUAGCCCCUCUGGCCAAUGUCAUCCAUGACAACUUUGGUAUCGUGGAGGGACUCAUGACCACCGUCCAUGCCAUCACUGCCACCCAGAAGACUGUGGGUGACCCCUCUGGGAAGCUGUAGUUCAAAGAUGGCAGGGCCCUCCAGAACAUCAUCCCUGUGUUCACUGGCACUGCCAAGGCCAUGGGCGAGGUCAUCCCCAAGCUGAACAUGAAACUCAUGGGCAUGGCUUUCCAUGUCCCCACUGCCAAUGUAUCUUUUGUGGACCUGACCUGCUGUGUAGAGAAACCCACCAAAUAUGAUGACAUCAAGAAGGUGGUGAACAGGCAUCCAGGGCCCCCUCAAGGGCAUCCUGGUCUACACUGAGCACCAGGAUUUGCCCUCCAACUUUAACAGUGACACUCACUGUUCCAACUUUGAAGCUGGGAUUGGCAUUGCCCUCAACUACCACUUUGUCAAGCUCAUGUCUUGGUAGGACAAUGAAUUUGGUUACAGUAGCAGGUUGGUGGAUCUCAUGACCCUCCUGGUCUCCAUGGAGUAA